CAACCCGGUCCAUAUAUAGUAUUGUUGCGGCGUGCAACCGAUCAAUUCAUAUAAAUAUUGCGGGGCGCAACCCGAUCCAGAUAUACAGUCAAUAAUAGUCCCGGAAAGGGAUCAACAACGAAGUACACUAUCCCGGUAAGGGAAUCGACAAUAUAAAUAAGCAUGUCCCGCCAAGGUAGAAAUAACUAUAGCCAAUCUUAAUCAAACAUCUGACCAUUUCAGUUAUCACAAAUACUAAAACUUAUUAAUUUCCACGAAAACUAACUUAAUCCUUGCUCAAUAUCGAACUUUAUCAAUUAAAGCAUCCAUAGUAUCAUUUAAGAACUCACAAAUUGUAAUUUAAGACGGACGGUCAUGCUCGACAUCAACGUAUAUAUACUCGUUACCAUGCUUAUACGUCGUACUCAACAAGAAGCAAAUAGCAAAUAUGAUACAACUCCUAAUCCCUCAAGCUAAGGUUAGACCGAACACUAACCUCGAACUUUCACGGCCAACUCAAUCCUCAAACACCGCCUUUUCUUUUGAAUUCAGCCCCGAAUCACUUAUAUCUAGACAUAAUCAACUUCAUAACAUCAAUAAACGCUAAUCAAUCGAAUUCUAAUGCUUAGUUUUAG
rnacentral:lncRNA from 1 species